rnacentral:snoRNA from 1 species
AAGUAUACUUUGAGGGAUCAUUUCUAUAGUUCUUUACUAGAGAAGUUUCUCUGAUCGUGUAGAGCACCAGAAACCAUGAGGGGAAGGCACAGCGUUCUCUUCUGAGCCUGAAGUCGACUCUUGGUGUUGCCCCACUGCAACUGCCAUUUGGCACUGAGGAUCAUUCUUGCUUUCCUUCGGGGAGGCAAAAGGGAGAGGAUGAAGUCUGAGUGGA